rnacentral:rRNA from 1 species
UACGUAGGGAGCAAGCGUUGUCCGGAAUCAUUGGGCGUAAAGAGCGCGUAGGUGGCUUUAUAAGUCCGUUGUGAAAGUCAAAGGCUCAACCUUUGAAAGCCGAUGGAUACUGUGAAGCUAGAGUACGGAAGAGGCGAGUGGAAUUCCUGGUGUAGCGGUGGAAUGCGCAGAUAUCAAGAGGAACACCAGUGGCGAAGGCGAGUCCCUGGACAACACCUGACACUGAGGCACGAAAGCUAGGGGAGCAAACAGG